AUUAGAUCAGGCGUUACAGAGCGCAAAUGACUAUACUGACAUACUAUAUAUGAUAUAUGUCAUCAAUACAUGUGGGCAGAGUAUGAAGUGAGAAAAGCGUUUUGUCUUUUCUUUUCGCUUUAGCCCCACGUCUGAAAUGAUCCGUGUAGCUAUUAAUCGCCAUUUGAAAGUAAUUGAGAAUCCUGCUUUGGCAGAAAUAGCAGCAGGGCGACCUCUAGUGUCUUUAAGGAGGUGUUGUAAUAUAUAUUAAUAACUGGCAGGUUUUUGAGGUCAUCCUCUAACAGAAGCUGGUCAGAUAUGGAACAUUAUAAAGGUCAUUACAGCUGCGGUCAAUGUCAUUAUUGUCGUUUUCUGCAUUGUAAGCGAAGAUUUACAUUAGGAGGCGUUUAUGUACAGGUCAGCCAGUUUAUUACAUGCAAAACCAGGAGGUACUAGUGACCAGCUGACCCCAAAGAUGACCUAUGAGCUCUCCACAUAAACCCUGGGUGGAGCUAGCUUCUCUUUCUUGUUCCUGAGGUCGAGUGCAGUCGUCAGUGUGUGUGUCCAGAACAUUGGAGGCCUUAAGUCAAGUCCUGCAGCCACAAGUCAAGUGCAAAUUACAUCCAGCCGGAUGACUUUCACCUGCCCAGGGGCUGAAUGGUGUCUCAGAGCCUGCGCUCCAUCUCCAUCCGGAAACAGACAGGCAGCGAAGACUGUGAACCCCAGAUCAAGCAGCCUGUGUGCCAGCAGGUUCC